rnacentral:rRNA from 1 species
UACGGAGGGGGCUAGCGUUGUUCGGAAUUACUGGGCGUAAAGCGCACGUAGGCGGCUUUGUAAGUUAGAGGUGAAAAGCCCGGGGCUCAACUCCGGAAUUGCCUUUUAAGACUGCAUCGCUAGAAUUGUGGAGAGGUAAGUGGAAUUCCGAGUGUAGAGGUGAAAUUCGUAGAUAUUCGGAAGAACACCAGUGGCGAAGGCGACUUACUGGACACAUAUUGACGCUGAGGUGCGAAAGCGUGGGGAGCAAACAGG